rnacentral:lncRNA from 1 species
AUUGUUCUAGGAGUUGUGGUGAAUAACAAAUUAAAAUUAUUUGGCUAGUAGAUCGGGGGCAUCAGGAACGUAGAUGUUUUUCUUUCGAAGGUAAGAAAAUUCGCUCCGAAGUAGACUUCUCAGAGACAUUUUGGGCUGUAGCUCGCAGGGGGCACAUAUUUUCAGAGUUGCACAAUUUCUGGCAAAGCUUUCCCCCUAAUGGUCAAUCAUUGCCUUUGGCGCCACUGUAUGGAAGAGAUGCACAAACUUGAAUAACUGUAAAAGAAUAAACGAUCGUAUGACCACCUUGUAUUGUAUCGUUGGGGUACCGGCCAAAGACUCACUAACCGUCAAGUUAGUAAGCAAUUUAUGAGACUCAAACAGUAUGCAAGAAAAUAGAGUAUGCGAUAAUUGCGUUAACCCUAGCAAGGUGUAUUAAUAUUUAAUACUAGUCGAGAGAGAGUCCUUUCAGGAUAUAAAAUCCGCAUUAAACCAAGAGAAUGCUAAAGGAUAUCUAGAAGUAAAUAUUGCAUCAUCUUAAAAGUGAGAAAUUUUUAGUUAUGACGGGAACACAAGUGGUACAUCACGUGUUUUAAUAGGAGUGGUGAAAAAUUUUAUUUUUUAAGUUAUUAACUUUUUAGCACACAUAUCCCAUCAUUUGUAUAGUGACACAUGGUGUUGUACCGGUCACAUUGAAAAAUCUCUCCUUAAAAGUAUGAUUACUUACAGCGCACAUCAAUCAUUUGACAAUAAAAAAUUAAGCAAUUGAAUGGUUUCAAUUUACUAGACAACAAAUUGUCCAAGUCCAACGAUCUACAAAAACGAUAACUCUAUAGCUACAAAAACAAAACCAGUAGAAAAAAGAAAUGAAGAAAGACAACGAACCUUGAUGCCUGCAAGGUUGUUCCUGUGAUUCGAUGAUCUAGGCUUCAUAAUAAUCUAAGGGUGUGUUUGUUUGGCCUUACUAACUUUCACUAGACUAGAUUGGAUUAGCUAAUAGUGAAAUUCCGUGUUUGUUGCGUGCACAGACUAAAGUUAAUGAAACUAAAGGGGAUUUGCUCCAACUAUCUCCCUCGCUACAAGGUCUUAGCGAGAGCCCCCCAAGCGCAUGGGACUGCUAAGCCCUUCAUUUGGUAUGUCCUUGUCUCCUCUCAUCCACUAUUUGUUCUUUGUUUUCUUGAGCACCGACAACCACCAUGACACCACCACUUCCAACUUUAGUGAGAUACACCGCUAGCCUAACACCACUUUCUCUCUCUCACCUCGAACCCAGAAUUUCGAACGAGGAAAAUCCCGCUCUAGCAGUCCUCCGAUUCACCUUCGAGGAAUAUCUCACUCUAGCACUCCUUGAUUCAAUUCCUCCGAGUUUCUAGAGGUUAAUCCCUUGAUUUCCUGUAAAAAAAAAAAAAAAAUUGGGGGGGGGGUGGUUAAUUUUGUUUGGUUAGUAGGAAAGCUGAGAAAUUGGUUUCUAUCGAGAUCCAAGGAAAGCAAGCAUCCUUGGCAAUUUUUGGUAGAAUUGUAGAUGAAGAAGAAACAAAACGAAAAGGCUUGAAUUUGUUGCAAGCAUUGAUGGACAAAAAGGGAAAAUUGGUGGUCUGGGAUUUAUUUAGGGAAAUAUGGAGAUCAUGCAGUUUAUGGAACUCUCUAGAUAGAGCCCGUGAAAAUAUCUGAAUCAAAAGUAAUAAAAUAAUUAAAAAGUAGUAAAAAAAUAUUUAGAUUCUAAAAAUAAUUUAGUCUGUGACUUGGUUCGACAUUGCACCAAACGUUUCACUAUUCUUGUCCUGCUUAGUCCAUGCCAAGCCAGUCCAGCUUAAUUCCUUAAGCUAGUCCAGUUCGAGAUAGUCCAUUGCAACAAAUGCACCCUAAAAGAUAAUUUUUAAUUCUUUGUAGGGCUUUUAAACCUCGUGCGGAAUGCAAAGAAAUUAUAUAUUGGAUGUUGGAAUCCCGAAAAUUAAAUAAAAACUAAAAACUACUGAUUAAAGCAUAUUAGGGAAAGGAAAGAAGAGAGCCACUUAAGGACUAGGAUGGGCAUGGCCCGUCCUGAUUUUUUUUUUUAAAAUUGAUUCAUAUAUAACCAGAUGGAGAGUACCAAUUGGUAACUUGAUCUUCCAAUGAUUAUCACUGACCCUCUAACAAUUGCAUGUCAUGAUUGAUCAAUUUUUAGUUGUGACGGGCAGGGGCGAAGCUAGGAUUUCUCGGGGGGAGGGGCAAACCUAAAAGAGUGAAAGGUUAAAGAAAAAUGGAAACAACUAAAUCUUUUUAUAUGGUAAUAUCUUCCAUAAUUAAUCAAAAUGUUUGAAGAAGGAUUUAAGCAUUGUUUCUUAUAGUAUCGUUCCAUUACGUAACUGUAAAAUGGAAAGAAAAAAAAUCUUAGAAUCUUAAUCCUAGAGUACACUAUACUAAUAUGCAUAAUAACUAGUCCAACUAACUAUUCAACCAAUCCAACCAAUUGCAUAAACUCCAAAUAAUUAACCCUAAUAUGCAUAAUAACUAAUCCAACCAACAAUUCAAUUAAUCAAUACCAAUAACUCAAUAAGCAUACAAAUUAUUCAAUAAAUAAAAAUUCAAUUCAACUAAACAUAUGAAUAAGAAUAAUUGUAUACAUUAUGGAAUAAUUCAAUUAAUUAAUUAAGAAUCAAGAAUUCAAAUUUUAAUUUUCACCCUAAAAAAUAAUUUCAUAUCAAUAAUCAUAGAAUCAUAUCAAUAAUCAAUAAUCAAUAACCAAUAACCAUAUUAUUAGUGCAUUACCAUAUGAUUUUAUACGAAUUAAAACUCAUUUGUAUUAAAUAAUUAAUUAGGGUUAGGGAUUAUAAAUUUAGGAAUUAAAAAAUUUAC